GAGUGAGUGUGUGUGAAAAAAUUGUGAGAGUGGUUGAGUCAUUUAUGUGCUCACUUUGUGAGCUUGUGAGGUGUGUGAGCUUGUGAGGUGUGUCAGAGUUGUGCUCAGUGCAAGAGCGUCGGGCUUGGAGGUAUUUAGGUGUGGAAGUUCACUACGUUAGCGAGCUGAGUUAUAGGGCUCGCAUUACGUUUUCCAACAAGGAAGUCCCAGAAGCUGUCCAAGAACGUCGGCGACGGUCCAUCUAUUGGUGAACCUCCCCGUCGGAGCUGCAAGAUCAAUCCCGUAGGGCAGAAAAUUGGCCGUGGCCUCGGAAUCCGGCAAGUGCACAUUGUUGCCGUUGUCAACGACGGAGUCCCCAAAGAUGAACAUGGCCGUGAUGUUGCCGGCUGCUUCAGUGAAGAAGAAGCUCACCAGGACCAGAAUCUUGAUGAACCCCGCUCUUGCCAUGGUCUCCAUUUGCGUGCAGCCAUGAGCCUGCGCUCCAUUGUUCGUUUAUACAGUGUGCGAUAUGGUGCUCCUCGUCGAUGACCGUGAGGGAAACAUGGAUUCCUGCCAUAAGCCCAAUCAUUCGAGCUGGUUGACACACGUACCUAAUUCUUCGGGUCAAGUUGAUCGUUCGUUGUGACUGAAAAGUUGGAACCGAUGAACAAGAGUGUUGUUGGAGGUAGAUUCAAUGCUCAUGGCCCAAUCACUGAGCUCAAUGACGAAGACAGCCCAUCGUAAGGUGGUGAAAUCUCCUACAGGGACAAUUCCAAGUCGACAGGUGCGCUUUAUCGGAGAAGCAUUAGUAUCCAGCACCAGCGUCAGAUGAGUUAAGCAACUGUUUAAUUAGGUGCACCAAUGUGACAUGGGUUCUAAUUUAAAUGCUCCUCUAACUAAUAAUUACUGAAAUAUGUAGUUAAAUAUGGGUAACAUUAUUGCGGAAAGAAAGAUAUCAUGAAAAUAACAACAUAGAAAAAUUAUUGCAACUA